rnacentral:rRNA from 1 species
ACAGGGAUUGCCUCAGUAACGGCGAGUGAAGCGGCAACAGCUCAAAUUUGAAAUCUGGCCCCAGGCCCGAGUUGUAAUUUGCAGAGGAUGCUUUUGGCAAGGUGCCUUCCGAGUUCCCUGGAACGGGACGCCAUAGAGGGUGAGAGCCCCGUCUGGUCGGACACCGAGCCUCUGUAAAGCUCCUUCGACGAGUCGAGUAGUUUGGGAAUGCUGCUCAAAAUGGGAGGUAUAUGUCUUCUAAAGCUAAAUACCGGCCAGAGACCGAUAGCGCACAAGUAGAGUGAUCGAAAGAUGAAAAGCACUUUGAAAAGAGAGUUAAAUAGCACGUGAAAUUGUUGAAAGGGAAGCGUUUAUGACCAGACUUGGCCCGGUUGAUCAUCCAGCGUUCUCGCUGGUGCACUCUGCCGGUCCAGGCCAGCAUCAGUUCGUCGCGGGGGAUAAAGGUUUCGGGAAUGUGGCUCCUCCGGGAGUGUUAUAGCCCGUUGCGUAAUACCCUGCGGUGGACUGAGGUCCGCGCUCUGCAAGGAUGCUGGCGUAAUGGUCAUCAACGACCCGUCUUGAAACACGGACCAAGGAGUCGUCUUCGUAUGCGAGUGUUCGGGUGUAAAACCCCUACGCGUAAUGAAAGUGAACGCAGGUGAGAGCUUCGGCGCAUCAUCGACCGAUCCUGAUGUUCUCGGAUGGAUUUGAGUAAGAGCAUACGGGGCCGGACCCGAAAGAAGGUGAACUAUGCCUGUAUAGGGUGAAGCCAGAGGAAACUCUGGUGGAGGCUCGCAGCGGUUCUGACGUGCAAAUCGAUCGUCAAAUAUGGGCAUGGGGGCGAAAG